rnacentral:lncRNA from 1 species
UGCGCAUUGUGUAAGUUGGGUAGCAAAAAUGGCAAAAGAGAUGCAAAAUUCCCAGUUAUCUUGCUCUGCUUGUGACAUUUCCUUCGCUGGUAUUGUUUAAAGGUUUGAUACAUAUACAAAGACCCAGGCAUACAAUUGGCGCAUGCUUUAUCCUACCACUUGCACUUCCUAGUCUCACAGCCUUAUGACCAAGGACCUUUAUUUGGACAUCAAUACAUACCCUGACUUGUUUUUCUCUAUUGUAAUCUGAGGUUUUCCAAAUUAAGUUCUAAGAUUAUUAGGUUUUGCUCUGAGUUAUUUCUAGAGAAAGAAAAUAUUUUAGUAUGUAUAAAUUGUACAAUAAUUUUUUUGCUGUUGUACUUACUGCUAACAGUGGAUUGUAUAGGGUGGUGUUUUUAUUUCAUUUAUUGUAGACAAAAUAAAUAAAUUUAGUAUUCACAUACACACUAACUCAAGUAUGUCAGAGCACAAAGGUGGCAGCUGGUUCUAUUUAAUUUAGUUCCUUUGAAAAGCACAUCCAUCCAUUCUACCAUUUGUUUAUAAAUAUAUCCCCCAUCCCCCCACACACAGUUUAAAUAUAUAUUUUGGUGAAGCUGUGGUACACCAUUAAUUGUUUCAAAAUGCAAUCUAAAGAUGCAAUAAAUAGAGUACCUUGAUAGUUUGAAGGAAUUCUUCAGUUCUUGCAGCUGUGUUUUAGAAAGUGAUUAAGCAAUAUUUUUCAAACGUGGAUAUUUAGCUAUCCAUUGUCCUCUGAAGAGUCCUUUUCAUGUUUUCAAAGAUGUGCUUUGUGCUGAAGAUUUGUGUGUCCGUUCCUCUGUGCUUCCAACUAUCACUGAAGUCUUCUACCUGAUUGAUCUGCCAAGGAUUAUAGUUUGCUUUAACUUCAGAGUAUUUUUAUCUUCCAUUUUAUUUAAUUUUGUUCCUUUUUCUUUUCUUUCAAGAUAAUGUUUUAGAUAUGUAAUUGGGGAAAACCACUAGAUUUCUGUCAAAAAAAUGAAAUGUUACUGAAUUCAAGUAACCAACUCUCCAUUGAAUAUCAAUACUGUUGAUAUACUUAUUAGAAUGUAUGUCUCAGAAGAUGGUUUCUGUUAAAUAUAUGAAGUUACAAUUACUGAAUUCUAAUAUGGAUUAAAAGCUCCACAUAAAUAUUUU